GAGGUUAUGGAGGAGGUGAUAAUGAGGAAACCAGAAGUAACAGAAGCAACUACUCUGCAGCUGUCUUUUCCUUAGGGGUCAGUACUAAAGGCAGUACCCAAAACAUGUUGAGAAGAGAGGAUGAAUGUCGAAGGGUGAACAUGAAAGACAGACAUCUACUGGAAAUCAAUCUGAAGUUUUCCACUUCCAUCUUUUUGUUUUUAGAAAUUACGACAAGGUUUUUAUUGGAUGCUGGUGGAUCCCUCGGUAAGAGAUGGGGUCUGCUGUGGUUUGGGAAGAGCCAGAAGAACAAGACACUGCUAUAGAGUACGUCUAGCUGUAUGUCCUUUCAGGACACGCUCCUCUGACAAAGAGCAGAUAUGUCUUCAGAAUCACCGUUGACAGCAGGUCCUCAGACACAUGGCAACAAGCAAU
ensembl:lncRNA